CUAGGAAUCUGCCUGGUAGUGGGGGACAACGUUUCGAAAGGAACGCUAAUACCGCAUACGUCCUACGGGAGAAAGCAGGGGACCUUCGGGCCUUGCGCUAUCAGAUGAGCCUAGGUCGGAUUAGCUAGUUGGUGAGGUAAUGGCUCACCAAGGCGACGAUCCGUAACUGGUCUGAGAGGAUGAUCAGUCACACUGGAACUGAGACACGGUCCAGACUCCUACGGGAGGCAGCAGUGGGGAAUAUUGGACAAUGGGCGAAAGCCUGAUCCAGCCAUGCCGCGUGUGUGAAGAAGGUCUUCGGAUUGUAAAGCACUUUAAGUUGGGAGGAAGGGCAUUAACCUAAUACGUUAGUGUUUUGACGUUACCGACAGAAUAAGCACCGGCUAACUCUGUGCCAGCAGCCGCGGUAAUACAGAGGGUGCAAGCGUUAAUC
rnacentral:rRNA from 1 species